rnacentral:rRNA from 1 species
GCUCAGGACGAACGCUGGCGGCGUGCCUAAUACAUGCAAGUGGAACGCUUUUUCUCUCCCGUUUCUUCGGAAACACCUGAGAAAAAGAGUCGCGAACGGGUGAGUAACGCGUAGGUAACCUGCCUUGUAGCGGGGGAUAACUAUUGGAAACGAUAGCUAAUACCGCAUAACAAUGGAGUACACAUGUACUUUAUUUGAAAGGAGCAAUUGCUCCACUACGAGAUGGACCUGCGUUGUAUUAGCUAGUUGGUAGGGUAACGGCCUACCAAGGCAACGAUACAUAGCCGACCUGAGAGGGUGAUCGGCCACACUGGGACUGAGACACGGCCCAGACUCCUACGGGAGGCAGCAGUAGGGAAUCUUCGGCAAUGGGGGGAACCCUGACCGAGCAACGCCGCGUGAGUGAAGAAGGUUUUCGGAUCGUAAAGCUCUGUUGUAAGAGAAGAACGAG